rnacentral:rRNA from 1 species
UAUACAACGAAGAGUUUGAUCCUGGCUCAGGAUGAACGCUAGCGACAGGCCUAACACAUGCAAGUCGAGGGGCAGCACGGUGUAGCAAUACACGGGUGGCGACCGGCGCACGGGUGA